GGUGAAGGAUGGAGGGAGAUACAGAGACAGCAGAGGAGAAGGAGGGUGAUGACACAGAGCUGUCUGGUGAGGAAGGGGUAGGGCAACUUCACCAGAGCGGAGGGUCCUCGGAUGAAGACCAGGACCUACCCAUCAUGCAGUGGGAGGACCUGAGCCUGCGUAUCGCCGAGCUAGAGAAACAGGAGGAGGAGAGGAGGGAGAGGGCAAAGGUCAGAGGGCAUAAAGAGAGGAAGUAGACGUUUUUGUGCUCUGCCCUUAACGACAGAUCUGAGAUUAGCUUAUCUGCCCCAAAUCAAGACCUUAACAAUUAGCGGGAACAGCACAACGUUGACCUUAGAUCAGAAUCUAGGGGUAACUUCAUCCUACUUCUCUCUUUGCCUUACACAUGUGACUGUCGUCUACUGGUAUUAGGCUGAAAGCUGGAGCCCAAGAUCACAGUAAUAACCUCUGUUAAUAAGAUGAUUGGAAUAACACCCUGAGAACCCCUGGCAUUAAAACUGAACUUGUCUGUUUGAAAAAGACUGCAGAGAUGGGUUUAAUGACACCCAUACACUCUUAAAUACCCCACCACCACACGUCUCCACCCCUUCCCUCCUCCCAUGUAAUCUCUCCAUCCCUGAUCCCUCCCUCUAUUCCUCUCUUUCAGAGUAUGAGUGGGUCGGAACAGAGGAGUGUGUCAGGGGGCUGGGCGGAGGAGAGGCAGGGUGGGCUUCGGAGGAGAGAGGAAUGGGAGGAGGAGGACUAUGGAAGGUGUCGAGUUACUGUUUUCUCAUCUAGAUUCCACAAUCACAGAAAUCUACAGUUAUGCUACACCAACAACAGUGAGAGCGAGGAUGAUGAUACGGAGGAAGGGGCUGGCAAAGAGGGUUCUAAAGAGGCAGGUAGCCAUGGUUACCAUCCCUCUGGCCUGAAGCUGGAGGUGAGGGCCGCUCUGAGUGCGCUUAAAAACAAGCUGCUCGCUGAACAGAAAGAGAAGGAGCACCUCGCCUGUGUGAUCACUAAGAGGAAGCAUCUGGAAUGCUGUGACCUGCAGAUCUGCUCAAUACAACAGCUCAGUUCCCUCAGGACCUCACUCAACCAUGACGUACACGACCUGAGCUCUGAGUUGGUGAGUCACCUGUUGAUAAGGGACCAGCUGAGGACCAAACAGGAUGCCAUGCUCCUGGAUGUACAGGAUCUGACAUAA
rnacentral:lncRNA from 1 species